GAUGAACGCUGGCGGCGUGCCUAACACAUGCAAGUCGAACGAAAAGACGAGGAUCUUGCUCCUCUCACGUUAGCGGCGGACGGGUGAGUAACACGUGGAUAACCUUGCUCUAAGACUGGGAUUACUUAGGGAAACCGGAGUUAAUAACGGGAAAUAUAUUGAACCGCAUGGUUGAAUAGUGUAUGACGUGUUUGCUGUGACUUAUACCUAGAUCCGCGCCGGAUUAGCUAGUUGGUAAGGUAACGGCUUCCCAAGGCGACCAUGCGUAGCCGACCGGAGAGGGUGAGCGGCCACACUAGGACGGAGGCACAGACCAGACUCCUGCGGGGGGCAGGAGUAGGGAAUCUUGCACAAUGGGCGAAAGCCUGACGGAGCAACGCCGCGUGAGUGAUGGAGGUCUUCGGAUCGUAAAACGCUGUUAUUAGGGAAGAACAAAUGUGUAAGUAACUAUGCACGUCUUGACGGUACCUAGUCAGAAAGCCACGGCUAACUACGUG
rnacentral:rRNA from 1 species